GGCCACGUAGUUCAGUUGGCAGAACAAUAACAUUGGACUAGUAUCCCAAAGGUCGCGGGUUCGACUCCCACCGUGGCCA